rnacentral:rRNA from 1 species
GAUGAACGCUAGCGGCAGGCUUAACACAUGCAAGUCGAGGGGUAGAGUUAGCUUGCUAACUUGAGACCGGCGCACGGGUGCGUAACGCGUAUGCAAUCUACCUUGUACAGAGGGAUAGCCCAGAGAAAUUUGGAUUAAUACCCCAUAGUGUUUAGAAGUGGUAUCACUUUUUUACUAAAGUUCCAACGGUACAAGAUGAGCAUGCGUCCCAUUAGCUAGUUGGUAUGGUAACGGCAUACCAAGGCUAUGAUGGGUAGGGGUCCUGAGAGGGAGAUCCCCCACACUGGUACUGAGACACGGACCAGACUCCUACGGGAGGCAGCAGUGAGGAAUAUUGGACAAUGGGCGCAAGCCUGAUCCAGCCAUGCCGCGUGCAGGAAGACGGUCCUAUGGAUUGUAAACUGCUUUUGUACGGGAAGAAACACUCCCUCGUGAGGGAGCUUGACGGUACCGUAAGAAUAAGGAUCGGCUAACUCCGUGCCAGCAGCCGCGGUAA